CUUCCGGUGCCCAUCUCCUGCUCCGGUGAUUUUCGCAUGAGCAGUCAGGCUCUGAGAAGGCAUCUUCGUAUUUUCCUGAUGAGCUGUCGUAACCCUUUCCAUCAGGGCUCCGUAUCAUGGCCUGCAAGGUGCUCUAAGCUCUGUGCGAGGAGGCAGCAAGCUUUCUGCAACAAGAGUCUCUGGACUGAGAGAGACAGCUUAUUGAGGAUAAUACAUAAAAACAUUACUUCACAUAGUUAUUUAACAUGAUAAAGAAAAAAACAAUGCGGGAGGAAGAGCGCCCAAGCUGAAAUCAGCCACACCGCAGCGGAAUAAAGGCUCAGCGCAGAGAACA
rnacentral:lncRNA from 1 species